rnacentral:rRNA from 1 species
UGGGGAAUAUUGCACAAUGGAGGGAACUCUGAUGCAGCGACGCCGCGUGAGUGAUGAAGGAAUUCGUUUCGUAAAACUCUGUUCUAUGGGAAGAAAAGGACUGUACCAUAGGAGAAAGCUCCGGCUAAAUACGUGCCAGCAGCCGCGGUAAUACGUAUGGAGCGAGCGUUGUCCGGAAUUAUUGGGCGUAAAGGGUGCGCAGGCGGCUUUACAAGUUGGAUGUGAAAUAUUGUGGCUCAACCACAAACGUGCAUCCAAAACUGCAAAGCUUGAGUUAAGGAGAGGUAAGUGGAAUUCCUCGUGUAGCGGUGGAAUGCGUAGAUAUCAUGAGGAAUACCGGUGGCGAAGGCGACUUACUGGACUUAAACUGACGCUCAGGCACGAAAGCGUGGGGAGCAAACAGG